rnacentral:ribozyme from 1 species
UUGGAAAGAGACAAAGAAGACAGAAGAAAGAAGAAGAUUUGGAGAGAUAUUUCUCUUGUUUGUUUAUUUCUUUUU